rnacentral:rRNA from 1 species
AGAGUUUGAUCCUGGCUCAGGACGAACGCUGGCGGCGUGCCUAAUGCAUGCAAGUCGAGCGGGCUACAGUCUUCGGAUUGUAGCUUAGCGGCGAACGGGUGAGUAACACGUAGGUAAUCUACCCUUCAGAGGAGGACAACCUCAGGAAACUGAGGCUAAACCUUCAUACGUUCACUGGUAGGGAUACUGGUGAAGAAAGAGUUACCGUUGAGGUGGCUGCUGAAGGAUGAGCCUGCGGCCCAUCAGGUAGUUGGUGAGGUAACGGCUCACCAAGCCGAAGACGGGUAACCGGUCUGAGAGGAUGUCCGGUCACACUGGGACUGAGACACGGCCCAGACUCCUACGGGAGGCAGCAGCAGGGAAUCUUGGGCAAUGGGCGAAAGCCUGACCCAGCGACGCCGCGUGGAGGAAGAAGUCCUUCGGGGCGUAAACUCCUGGACUGGGGGACGAGGAAGGACGGUACCCCAGUAGAAAGGGACGGCUAACUACGUGCCAGCAGCCGCGGUAAAACGUAGGUCCCGAGCGUUGUUCGGAUUCACUGGGUGUAAAGGGCGCGUAGGUGGUUGUCUGUGUCUCAUGUGAAAACUCAGGGCUCAACUCUGAGAUUGCGUGGGAAACUAGGCAGCUAGAGGACGGUAGAGGGGAGUGGAAUUCCCGGUGUAGCGGUAAAAUGCGUAGAUAUCGGGAGGAACACCGGUGGCGAAGGCGGCUCUCUGGGCCGAUCCUGACGCUGAGGCGCGAAAGCUAGGGGAGCGAACCGGAUUAGAUACCCGGGUAGUCCUAGCCGUAAACGAUGGGUGCUAGGUGUUGGGGGGUAAAGACCCUUCAGUGCCGAAGCCAACGCGAUAAGCAUCCCACCUGGGGAGUACGGCCGCAAGGUUGAAACUUAAAGGAAUUGACGG